UACAGAGGGGGCAAGCGUUGUUCGGAAUUACUGGGCGUAAAGGGCGCGUAGGCGGCCCGCUAAGUCGAACGCGAAAUCCCCGAGCUCAACUCGGGAACUGCGUCCGAUACUGGUGGGCUUGAAUCCGGGAGAGGGAUGCGGAAUUCCAGGUGUAGCGGUGAAAUGCGUAGAUAUCAGGUGGAACACCAGUGGCGAAGGCGGCUUUCUGGACGGUAACUGACGCUGAGACGCGAAAGCGUGGGGAGCGAACAGG
rnacentral:rRNA from 1 species